ACGCUGGCGGCGUGCUUAACACAUGCAAGUCGAACGGGGAUUAGUUGAUUGAGAGCUUCGGCAGGAUAUCGAUUAAUUCGAGUGGCGGACGGGUGAGUAACGCGUGAGCAACCUGUCCCAGACAGGGGGAUAACACUUGGAAACAGGUGCUAAUACCGCAUAAGACCACGGGAUCACAUGGUUCUGGGGUAAAAGGAGCAAUCCGGUUUGGGGUGGGCUCGCGUCCGAUUAGCCAGUUGGCGGGGUAACGGCCCACCAAAGCGACGAUCGGUAGCCGACCUGAGAGGGUGAACGGCCACAUUGGAACUGAGAGACGGUCCAAACUCCUACGGGAGGCAGCAGUGGGGAAUAUUGGGCAAUGGGCGAAAGCCUGACCCAGCAACGCCGCGUGAGUGAAGAAGGCCUUCGGGUUGUAAAGCUCUGUUAUAGUUGACGAAGGAAGUGACGGUAGGCUAUAAGGAAGCCCCGGCUAACUACGUGCCAGCCGCCGC
rnacentral:rRNA from 1 species